CCCAUAGAUGUUCUGGGCAGCACGCGCGCUACAAUGGUCUUCGCAAACGGAUGCAUUCUCGAAGGAGAAUGCCAAUCUUGGAAUCUAUGCCUUGGUCGGGACAGUUGCUUGCAAUUUUUCGACUCGAACCAGGAAUUCCUUGUAAUCGUGAUUCAUCACAUCACGAUGAAUACGUCCCUGCCCUUUGUACACACCGCCCGUCGCUCCUACCGAUCGAAGAGUUAGGUGAAUUGUUUUGAUCGAUAAGAUUUGACUAUGGUCAACUCUCGUUGUGAAAUUCUGUGAAUCUGACUGUUUAGAGGAAGGAAAAGUCGUAACA
rnacentral:rRNA from 1 species